GUGUCAGCCGCCGCGGUAAGACAGAGGAGGCAAGCGUUGUUCGGAAUCAUUGGGCUUAAAGGGCGUGCAGGCGGCGGCGCAAGUGUCGAGUGAAAUCCCAUCGCUCAACGAUGGAACGGCUCGGCAAACUGCGUCGCUUGAGGUCGGUAGAGGUGCUCGGAACUCUAGGUGGAGCGGUGAAAUGCGUAGAUAUCUAGAGGAACGCCUGAGGCGAAAGCGGGGCACUGGGCCGAUUCUGACGCUGAGACGCGAAAGCGUGGGGAGCAAACAGGAUUAGAUACCCUGGUAGUCCACGCCAUAAACGAUGAGGACUAGACGUUGGAGGGGUAAGCCUUUCAGUGUCGUAGCUAACGCGCUAAGUCCUCCGCCUGGGGAGUACGGCCGCAAGGUUGAA
rnacentral:rRNA from 1 species